rnacentral:rRNA from 1 species
UGCCAGCCGCCGCGGUAAUACGAAGGUCCCAAGCGUUGUUCGGAAUCACUGGGCGUAAAGCGUGUGUAGGCUGCGCGGAAAGUCAAAUGUGAAAGCCCGGGGCUCAACCUCGGAACUGCAUUCGAUACUCCCGUGCUAGAGUAAUGGAGAGGUAAGUGGAAUUCCUGGUGUAGCAGUGAAACGCGUAGAUAUUAGGAAGAACACCAAAGGCGAAGGCAUUCUACUGGACAUUUACUGACGCUCAGACACGAAGGCUAGGGUAGCGAAAGGGAUUAGAUA